UACGAAGGGGGCUAGCGUUGCUCGGAAUCACUGGGCGUAAAGCGCAUGUAGGCGGUGCGGUAAGUCGGGUGUGAAAGCCCUGGGCUCAACCCAGGAAGUGCAUUCGAUACUACCGUACUAGAGUCCCGGAGAGGUUGGUGGAACUCUCGGUGUAGAGGUGAAAUUCGUAGAUAUCGAGAAGAACACCGGUGGCGAAGGCGGCCAACUGGACGGUGACUGACGCUGAGACGCGAAAGCGUGGGAGCAAACAGG
rnacentral:rRNA from 1 species